CUACGGGAUGCAGCAGUGAGGAAUAUUGCACAAUGGGGGGAACCCUGAUGCAGCAACGCCGCGUGGAGGAUGACGCAUUUCGGUGUGUAAACUCCUUUUAUAUGUCAAGAAAAUGACGGUAGCAUAUGAAUAAGCACCGGCUAACUCCGUGCCAGCAGCCGCGGUAAUACGGAGGGUGCAAGCGUUACUCGGAAUCACUGGGCGUAAAGGACGCGUAGGCGGGUUGGAAAGUCAGGUGUGAAUUCCUACAGCUUAACUGUAGAACUGCACUUGAAACUUCUAAUCUAGAGUAUGGGAGGGGGAGAUGGAAUUAGUGGUGUAGGGGUAAAAUCCGUAGAUAUCACUAGGAAUACCUAAAGCGAAGGCGAUCUCCUGGAACAUUACUGACGCUAAGGCGUGAAAGCGUGGGGAGCAAACAGGAUAGAUACCCCCGUAGUC
rnacentral:rRNA from 1 species